GACGAACCGAGCGAACGUUGUUCGGAAUCACUGGGCUUAAAGGGCGCGUAGGCGGGGGCUCAAGUCCGUGGUGAAAUCCUCCGGCUCAACCGGAGAACUGCCUCGGAUACUGGGUGCCUCGAGGGUGGUAGGGGUAUGCGGAACUAUCGGUGGAGCGGUGAAAUGCGUUGAUAUCGAUAGGAACUCCGGUGGCGAAGGCGGCAUACUGGACCACCUCUGACGCUGAGGCGCGAAAGCCAGGGGAGCAAACGGG
rnacentral:rRNA from 1 species